GCUGCUAUAGUAAAAAUUACGUUACGUUUUCAUCGUAAAAUUAAGAUUAAAUAUCUUUAGUGGUA
rnacentral:tRNA from 1 species